rnacentral:rRNA from 1 species
AGCGAGAGUUUGUGGAAUGCGGACUUCGGUCCAAGUGAAAUGAAGGAAAGCGGCGGACGGGUGAGUAACGCGUGGGCAACCUGCCCCAUACAAAGGGAUAGCCACUGGAAACGGUGAUUAAUACCAUAUGAAGCUUUAAGGUCGCAUGACCUGAAAGUUAAAGAUUUAUCGGUAUGGGAUGGGCCCGCGUCUGAUUAGCUAGUUGGUGAGGUAACGGCUCACCAAGGCGACGAUCAGUAGCCGACCUGAGAGGGUGAUCGGCCACACUGGAACUGAGACACGGUCCAGACUCCUACGGGAGGCAGCAGUGGGGAAUAUUGCACAAUGGGCGCAAGCCUGAUGCAGCAACGCCGUGUGAGUGAAGAAGGCCUUCGGGUCGUAAAACUCUGUCCUAUGGGAAGAAACAAAUGACGGUACCAUGGGAGGAAGCCCCGGCUAACUACGUGCCAGCAGCCGCGGUAAUACGUAGGGGGCGAGCGUUAUCCGGAAUCACUGGGCGUAAAGGGUGCGUAGGCGGCUAAGCAAGCCAGGGGUGAAAGGCAUUGGCUCAACCAAUGUAAGCCUUUGGAACUGUUUGGCUUGAGUGCAGGAGAGGUAAGUGGAAUUCCUAGUGUAGAGGUGAAAUUCGUAGAUAUUAGGAGGAACACCAGUGGCGAAGGCGACUUACUGGACUGUAACUGACGCUGAGGCACGAAAGCGUGGGGAGCGAACAGGAUUAGAUACCCUGGUA